rnacentral:rRNA from 1 species
CGCGUAGGUGGUUGAUCAAGUCUGGGGUGAAAUCUUUCGGCUUAACCGGAAAAGUGCCUUGGAUACUGGUCAGCUGGAGGGAGGUAGGGGCAGUUGGAACUUCCAGUGGAGCGGUGAAAUGCGUUGAUAUUGGAAGGAACGCCGGUGGCGAAAGCGAACUGCUGGACCUCUUCUGACACUGAUGCGCGAAAGCUAGGGGAAGCAAACG